UCCCUGGGGGAAGCGAUCUCCCCACGAGGCGACAGCCGAAGCAUCGCGUCCAUCAGUUAAGUCUGCGCUCGCGGCACGUGUGCUCGCAGCAGGUGUAAGGACGCGCGAUG
rnacentral:ncRNA from 1 species